AGAGUUUGAUCCUGGCUCAGGACGAACGCUGGCGGCGUGCCUAAUACAUGCAAGUCGAGCGGACAGAUGGGAGCUUGCUCCCUGAUGUUAGCGGCGGACGGGUGAGUAACACGUGGGUAACCUGCCUGUAAGACUGGGAUAACUCCGGGAAACCGGGGCUAAUACCGGAUGGUUGUUUGAACCGCAUGGUUCAAACAUAAAAGGUGGCUUCGGCUACCACUUACAGAUGGACCCGCGGCGCAUUAGCUAGUUGGUGAGGUAACGGCUCACCAAGGCAACGAUGCGUAGCCGACCUGAGAGGGUGAUCGGCCACACUGGGACUGAGACACGGCCCAGACUCCUACGGGAGGCAGCAGUAGGGAAUCUUCCGCAAUGGACGAAAGUCUGACGGAGCAACGCCGCGUGAGUGAUGAAGGUUUUCGGAUCGUAAAGCUCUGUUGUUAGGGAAGAACAAGUACCGUUCGAAUAGGGCGGUACCUUGACGGUACCUAACCAGAAAGCCACGGCUAACUACGUGCCAGCAGCCGCGGUAAUACGUAGGUGGCAAGCGUUGUCCGGAAUUAUUGGGCGUAAAGGGCUCGCAGGCGGUUUCUUAAGUCUGAUGUGAAAGCCCCCGGCUCAACCGGGGAGGGUCAUUGGAAACUGGGGAACUUGAGUGCAGAAGAGGAGAGUGGAAUCCCACGUGUAGCGGUGAAAUGCGUAGAGAUGUGGAGGAACACCAGUGGCGAAGGCGACUCUCUGGUCUGUAACUGACGCUGAGGAGCGAAAGCGUGGGGAGCGAACAGGAUUAGAUACCCUGGUAGUCCACGCCGUAAACGAUGAGUGCUAAGUGUUAGGGGGUUUCCGCCCCUUAGUGCUGCAGCUAACGCAUUAAGCACUCCGCCUGGGGAGUACGGUCGCAAGACUGAAACUCAAAGGAAUUGACGGGGGCCCGCACAAGCGGUGGAGCAUGUAGUUUAAUUCGAAGCAACGCGAAGAACCUUACCAGGUCUUGACAUCCUCUGACAAUCCUAGAGAUAGGACGUCCCCUUCGGGGGCAGAGUGACAGGUGGUGCAUGGUUGUCGUCAGCUCGUGUCGUGAGAUGUUGGGUUAAGUCCCGCAACGAGCGCAACCCUUGAUCUUAGUUGCCAGCAUUCAGUUGGGCACUCUAAGGUGACUGCCGGUGACAAACCGGAGGAAGGUGGGGAUGACGUCAAAUCAUCAUGCCCCUUAUGACCUGGGCUACACACGUGCUACAAUGGACAGAACAAAGGGCAGCGAAACCGCGAGGUUAAGCCAAUCCCACAAAUCUGUUCUCAGUUCGGAUCGCAGUCUGCAACUCGACUGCGUGAAGCUGGAAUCGCUAGUAAUCGCGGAUCAGCAUGCCGCGGUGAAUACGUUCCCGGGCCUUGUACACACCGCCCGUCACACCACGAGAGUUUGUAACACCCGAAGUCGGUGAGGUAACCUUUUAGGAGCCAGCCGCCGAAGGUGGGACAGAUGAUGGGGGAAGUCGUACAAGGAGCCGU
rnacentral:rRNA from 1 species